UUAGUUGCCAUCAUUAAGUUGGGCACUCUAAGUUGACUGCCGGUGACAAACCGGAGGAAGGUGGGGAUGACGUCAAAUCAUCAUGCCCCUUAUGAUUUGGGCUACACACGUGCUACAAUGGACAAUACAAAGGGCAGCGAAACCGCGAGGUCAAGCAAAUCCCAUAAAGUUGUUCUCAGUUCGGAUUGUAGUCUGCAACUCGACUAUAUGAAGCUGGAAUCGCUAGUAAUCGUAGAUCAGCAUGCUACGGUGAAUACGUUCCCGGGUCUUGUACACACCGCCCGUCACACCACGAGAGUUUGUAACACCCGAAGCCGGUGGAGUAACCAUUUGGAGCUAGCCGUCGAAGGUGGGACAAAUGAUUGGGGUGAAGUCGUAACAAGGUAGCCGUAUCGGAAGGUGCGGCUGGAUCACCUCCUUUCUAAGGA
rnacentral:rRNA from 1 species